rnacentral:rRNA from 1 species
UACGUAGGGUGCGAGCGUUGCCCGGAUUUAUUGGGCGUAAAGGGCGCGUAGGCGGCCACGCACGUCCGUUGUGAAAUCGCCCGGCUCAACUGGGCGGGGUCAGCGGAUACGGUGUGGCUAGAGCAAGCUAGGGGGCAAUGGAAUUCCCGGUGUAGUGGUGGAAUGCGUAGAGUAUCGGGAGGAACACCAGUGGCGAAGGCGGUUGCCUGGAGCUUUGCUGACGCUGAUGCGCGAAAGCGUGGGGAGCGAGUCCGG